UACGUAUGGUGCAAGCGUUAUCCGGAUUUACUGGGUGUAAAGGGAGCGUAGGCGGCGCGUUAAGUCUGAUGUGAAAACCCGAGGCUCAACCACGGGAGUGCAUUGGAAACUGGCGGGCUGGAGUGCCGGAGAGGUAAGCGGAAUUCCUAGUGUAGCGGUGAAAUGCGUAGAUAUUAGGAGGAACACCAGUGGCGAAGGCGGCUUACCGGACGGCAACUGACGCUGAGGCUCGAAAGCGUGGGGAGCAAACAGG
rnacentral:rRNA from 1 species